rnacentral:rRNA from 1 species
AUUGAACGCUGGCGGCAGGCCUAACACAUGCAAGUCGAGCGAGCGGCGGACGGGUGAGUAAUGUAUGGGGACUGCCCGCUAGAGGGGGAGAACUACUGGGAACGGUGGCUAAUACCGAAUACUAUCGGAUAACCCAUAUGGGAUUAGCUAUUAGGGUGGGUAAAGGCUCACCUAGGCGACGAUCUCUAGCUGGUCGGAGAGGAUGAACAGCCACACUGGGACUGAGACACGGCCCAGACUCCUACGGAGGCAUCAGUGGGGAAUAUUGCACAAUGGGCGCAAGCCUGAUGCAGCCAUGCCGAGUGUAUGAAGAAGGCCUUAGGGUUGUAAAGUACUUUCAGCGGGGAGGCGUUACCCGCAGAAGAAGCACCGGCUAACUCCGUGCCAGAAGCCGCGGUAAUAC